rnacentral:rRNA from 1 species
GAUGAACGCUAGCUACAGGCUUAACACAUGCAAGUCGAGGGGCAUCAGGAAGAAAGCUUGCUUUCUUUGCUGGCGACCGGCGCACGGGUGAGUAACACGUAUCCAACCUGCCCUUUACUCGGGGAUAGCCUUUCGAAAGAAAGAUUAAUACCCGAUGGGAUAAUGAUUCCGCAUGGUUUGAUUAUUAAAGGAUUCCGGUAAAGGAUGGGGAUGCGUUCCAUUAGGUUGUUGGUGAGGUAACGGCUCACCAAGCCUUCGAUGGAUAGGGGUUCUGAGAGGAAGGUCCCCCACAUUGGAACUGAGACACGGUCCAAACUCCUACGGGAGGCAGCAGUGAGGAAUAUUGGUCAAUGGGCGCGAGCCUGAACCAGCCAAGUAGCGUGAAGGAUGACUGCCCUAUGGGUUGUAAACUUCUUUUAUAUUAGAAUAAAGUGCGGUAUGUAUACUGUUCUGUAUGUAUAAUAUGAAUAAGGAUCGGCUAACUCCGUGCCAGCAGCCGCGGUAAUACGGAGGAUCCGAGCGUUAUCCGGAUUUAUUGGGUUUAAAGGGAGCGUANGUGGACUGGUAAGUCAGUUGUGAAAGUUUGCGGCUCAACCGUAAAAUUGCAGUUGAUACUGUCAGUCUUGAG